UACGUAGGUCGCAAGCGUUGUCCGGAUUUACUGGGCGUAAAGAGCGCGCAGGCGGCUGGUCAAGUCCGAUGUGAAAUCUCCCGGCUCAACUGGGAAACUGCAUCGGAAACUGAUCGGCUUGAAGAUGGGAGAGGGUAGUGGAAUUCCCGGUGUAGUGGUGAAAUGCGUAGAUAUCUGGAGGAACACCGGUGGCGAAGGCGGCAUCCUGGACCGGUAUUGACGCUGAGGCGCGAAAGCCAGGGGAGCAAACGGG
rnacentral:rRNA from 1 species